rnacentral:tRNA from 1 species
GGAGACGUGGCCGAGUGGUUGAAGGCGCUUGUCUCGAAAACAAGUAUCCCGCAAGGGAUCGGAGGUUCGAAUCCUCCCGUCUCCG